GAUGAACGCUAGCGGCAGGCUUAAUACAUGCAAGUCGUGGGGCAGCAUGGUGUGUAGCAAUACACACUGAUGGCGACCGGCAAACGGGUGCGGAACACGUACGCAACUUACCCUUAAGUGGGGGAUAGCCCGGGGAAACCCGGAUUAAUACCUCGUAACACUGUGAAGUGGCAUCACUUUAUAGUUAUAGCUCCGGCGCUUAAGGAUAGGCGUGCGUCCCAGUAGGUAGUUGGUUGAGGUAACGGCUCACCAAGCCUGCGAUGGGUAACUGGUGUGAGAGCACGACCAGUCACACGUGCACUGAGACACGGGCCCGACUCCUACGGGAGGCAGCAGUAAGGAAUAUUGGUCAAUGGACGCAAGUCUGAACCAGCCAUGCCGCGUGGAGGAUGAAGGCCCUCUGGGUUGUAAACUUCUUUUAUAAGGGACGAAAAAAGGUCUUUCUAGAUCGUCUGACGGUACCUUAUGAAUAAGCACCGGCUAACUCCGCGCCAGCCGCCGCUGUAACAC
rnacentral:rRNA from 1 species